rnacentral:misc_RNA from 1 species
UUUGUGCGGAUGAAUCCUGAACGGAAAUUACUUGUUGCGUAUGCUUGGAUAUGCCCUUUUUGUGGUGAGUUCUAUUAUGAUGCACCAUGGGAUUUUGAAGCUCCAUCCCCUUGUCCCGCAUUGAUGUCACGAGAUGUCGGACAUCUCAUUGCUAUCGUUAGCUUGGGGGAGGGUUGCUUCCUGCCCUUAAUUGCGCAGUGUAUGCAAAUAUGGAAUAUUGGUGCCUUUAGGCCCUAGUGCUCGUGUGCUGCUAUAUUAGAAGCUGAUAUAUGAUGCAUUCCAAGCCAAUCGUGACCACUUAUAUUGGGGUGUCGUUGAGCUUGGAGCUUGCAUGUAGAGGUGUGCUACCUGGUUGAUCCUGCCAGUAGUCAUAUGCUUGUCUCAAAGAUUAAGCCAUGCAUGUG